CCCUUAGAUGUUCUGGGCCGCACGCGCGCUACACUGAUGCAUUCAACGAGUCUAAAACCUGCUCUGAUAGGGGUGGGUAAUCUUUUGAAUGUGCAUCGUGAUUGGGAUAGAUGAUUGCAAUUUUUCAUCUUCAACGAGGAAUGCCUAGUAAACGCAAGUCAUCAGCUUGCAUUUAUUACGUCCCUGCCCUUUGUACACACCGCCCGUCGCUCCUACCGAUUGAAUGAUCCGAUGAAUAUCAUGGAUUGAGGAUGCAAGUAGGUUAGCCUAUCUUCAUCUUCGAGAAGUGAAGUAAAUCUUAUCAUUUAGAGGAAGGAGAAGUCGUAACA
rnacentral:rRNA from 1 species